CAAAGAAUAUCAAUUCUUACCAACUAUACAUUUGAUGAUUUUUUAUUGUACUGAAAUUGAAAGGCGCAAGAAUCAUAAAUUACAAGAAUUUCGUGGCCUACCCUUCAACUUGUAAAAAUAACGAGGUAGGUAGAGCGAGUAGACUCCAUUUACACACAUGACACAAAACUAAUUUAAUUAAUUUAAUAAUACACGUAACGUCCCACAUAUUCAAGGGGCCGAAAUUACAUAUUUACCCACCUUUCCUUUCCCUCUCAUCCCACCAAAAGUAGAAAAAUAUCCAAACCUACCCAAUGCAAUUUCAAUUGAAUGGUUGUUGUAUCUAAACACUUGGUCUUGGGUCCUCCCUCAGGGGCAUGUCCGUAAUUUUGUAAAAGUAACAGUUCCAAUCAACAAUUACACCAAAAAAAACACGAGGAAGAAAAAGAAAUGCACAGGGAAGGGCAAAUGGGGAUUGAUCGGAAUUGUCCUAAUCCCCGGCGGCGGAGGACGACGGUGACCACGGCGUCAUGUCCAUGGGGUAGCUGCCGAGCACUCUGAGGAAGGAGGUGAACUCCUGCACCUCGGCGAGGGCGUUCUGCGCCCUGACGUCGGCCAUGGAGGCCUCGAAGUCGAUGUAGAACAUGUACUCGAAGUGCUUGGCGGUGCCGACGUUGGCGUCGUCGACGAGGCGGAUCGGGCGGUGGCGGUGUGGCCGCGACUCGAUCUUCGUGAGGCUGAUGUUGCGGAAGGCGAAGGCGGAGAGCACCUUGAAGAGCACGCUCGUCCCCUUCUCGUGCGCGAACACAAUGCUCGUCUUGAACGGCCGGUCGUUGCGCGGAAUGAUCGGCUCGCGCGCCAGCAUCACGAAUCUCGUCACGUUGCCGCUGUCGUCCUGGAUCCCGUCGGCGAGGAUCUGCAUCCCGUAGAGCUCCGCCGCGCGCGCGGAGGCGAUCGCAGCCGUGUCGCGCAGGCCGUUCGUCGCGAUGUACUCGGCGGCGCCGGCGGUGUCGUCUACGGCCUCGCGGACCACAUUUAGCCCUAAUUUGGUGAGCGUGUGCUCGCAUUGGGAGAGCGCCUGCGGAUGGCUGAUAACGCGCGUGAGGUACUCCUUCCUCACGCCGGGGAGCGCGAGGAGGCAGUGGUGGACGGGGAGCUGCACCUCGCCGACGAUGUGGAGGCGGUGGCGGAGGAGGAGAUCGUAGUUCCGGUGGAUCGAGCCGCCGAGCGAGUUCUCCACCGGCAGCACCGCGCGGUCGGCGAGCCAGAGCUCCACGGCCUGGAACGCCACCUCGAAUUGGUCGCAGGGGAUCGCCUCGCAGUUAGGGUACGCUUUCCCGGCGGCGGCCUCGCUGUACGCGCCGGGGACGCCCUGGUACGCGACGCGGAGCUGCGCGCCGUGCAUCGGCGCCGGCGAGAAAUCGGCGAUGCUGAGCGGCUUCCGCAGCGGCGCCGGCGACGAGGAUUGGUCCUUGACGGGGACGAGGUCGAGGGUGGGGUGGCCGUUGACACGGAGACGCCGUCGGCGCCGCUCUUCUGGGUGUCCUGCUGCUGCGAUUCCACUUUGCUGGCGAGUAUGGCGCACGCGCUCUGCCACUCGUAUCGGGCCCGGCCGACCUGGCCCGACCCGAAGCUGAUACCGGUAGCCUGAUUCGUGCUGGAAUUGACGUUGCACUGGAUGGCCCGACGAGCCGGCCCGACCCGCGGCGUCCGGAUUAGGGAUUUGAGGUCUACGCCGGCGGGGGAACUAAGGGAUCGCAUGUUUGGAGAUGAAAAUGGAAUAUUGGGAAAAUUGAGGGGAUGAAAAUGUUAAUAAUAAUAUUAUUAAGUGUUUUUUUGUGAAGCUUGUAGUUCUCUGUGAGAAGGGAACGUCCAAGCUGAGAAAAAUAGUUGGGGAAAAGGGGUUUAUAUAUUGUGCGAGUCUGUCUCAACAUUGGUUUGGUCAAUCCCACACCUACCCCCGUCCAAUUUCUCCAUUUCCCUUUUACUCUUUCCUUUUUAAAAAAAAUAAUAAUAUUAUAAUAGAUGUGAGGUUGGCCCAUUUCUCAUUCCUUCUCCCUUUCUUUUUCUUUUUAGAUCUGGGCCAACUUCAGGGCCCAGAACCGAGCCCAAUCUCUCAUCCCAGCCCAUUCCCUAACCCUAGCCCACUCACACCCCAGAUAUAUUACUCCCCACUUCUCUCUCUUUCACUUUCACUCAGCGCCGCUCUCUCUCCCAAACCCUAAUCCCUCUCUCUCCCUGACUCUCCAUCUCCUCCGCCGCUCCACCGCCCAUCCCCUCGGUUCCUCCAUCUCCAUUACUGCUCCCUACUCCUUACUGCUGUCCAGCUCCUCCCUCUCUCCCUUUAUAUCUCUGAUGCUCUCCCAUGCCGGGAGUACGUAUGGUCAAGGACUGAAAGGCUCUGCUAUUCCUUUGUGGUUAAACUCCUUGAAAAUACGGGAUUCCCUGCGUGGGUGGUGGUAUCACCGGGCUUUCCAGACCAUCGGAGCCCUGUUUGGUGGUUACCUGAGGAGAUCUGAGCCGCCGGAGUCCUGACCUUGGCUCCUGCUGUUGGUGGUUCUGUUGAGAUCUGAGAAGCUGCUCCAUCAUCCAUCCCUGGCCUUUGAUCAUUCAGCUGCCGGAAGGGUUGCUGAGUUUAAGGGGGAAAAUCUGAGCCCCUGUGUCCCGAGGACACCUUUUCCCUCGACUGAAACCCUCCUCUGAUUUCUUAUCUCUUUUCUCUUUCAUUUGUUCCUUUUACUCCUUUUUCUCUUUAUUUGUGCAGAUCUGAAGUACAGGUAAUCGGAGGCAGAGUUGGAGCUGGAGAUUGCAUAUCUGGAACGGAAGAGUGAAGACCUAAAGAAGAAGAAGAAGAAGAAGUGCCUGAGCACGAAGUGAGACGGACCGGAGGUUCGGGAAACAAGAGGAGUAAUCCCGGCAAGGCGAAGAUACCCAACAAUAGAUAAUAUGAAAUUUAUUAAAUAUUCUCACGUUGAGUUGAACUUGUUCAAAAUAUUUCACGUUACGUAGAUUAUGAUCGUUUUCGUCGUUUAUGAAUGUAAUUGGAUAUCCAUCAAAUGAUGAUAACAUUGCUUGUACCGAUAAAGAAUCUUAGAAUUAUAUACUAGUAUUAAUGUGAUUUUUGUACAUGUUAUCCAUUUCUACAUUCUAUUUUUGAGUUGGUAGAUUCCUGUUUCUUUUUGCCCUUGAUAGAUGGCAAAUAAAAUUGAAUGCAGUUUGCUGAAAUCUAUUCCAGAAAGUAAGUGUCAUUUUUGUCAAACAUGGUGUUUGGUGGGCUUUCUUUCCAAAUUACAAGUAAGCUUAGUGGUAAUUUCAUUUCAUAGUAUUUAAGUUGGUAAUUCCAUUUCUUUAAUUAGUAGUAGAUGUUUUAUUGCGAUUUGAUAGUUAGUUCCAAAUUUCAAUGAUUAGUCGGUAAAUCCUGCCUUUUAAGUGCUUAAUCUGACAAUUAGUAGCAUCAUCAAAACGUCAUUGAAACUUAAUAUCACUUUGUCCCUACAAAAUGUUGUUGCCACCAAAUUUUAGACGUACCACAAAUUUUUGAGUUUUUUAAUUACUCAGGUAAUUUUAUUUUUAUUUGGUCGGUAAAAUCAAACUGUUAAAAAAAAUCGAGCUGCACGCGCACAUAACUCUGUGUAUAUAAAUAAGCGUCAAAUGAGUAUUAGUGUAUUACUAGUUGAUUUUGUAUUUUUUUAUAGUUGAUUUUCUUAAAACUAUUUAUGUUCACAUGCCAAAACAACAUUUCAAUGUAUGUACCAUUUAGAUUAAAGGGUCAUUAAUAAAAACAUACGCGCGUUUUGUUUCAAAGAUAAUUUUCUUUACAAAUUCUUUCAAAAUUUUGCUGUAUAUAUAAUAUGAAAUCAAAAAUAGAUUAAGCAUUAAUGUAAACCAGAUAUUACCAUAUUCAACAGCCAAUUAGGGUAAUGUUCAUUUUAUCAUUGCACGAAAAAAACAAACGCGCGUUUUGUUGUCAAAGAGAUUUUCCUUUACAAUUCUCUAUGCAAAUUAUUUUCAAAAUUUUGUUAUAGAUUAAAUAUAUAAUGAAGUCAAAAAUAGAUUAAGCAUUAAUGCAAAUAUGAUAUUACAAUAUUCAAUAACCAAUUAGGGUUAAGGGUAAUAUAUUUCGCUAACUUCGUUCACACAGAAUUAAAAUGCUGCUAGCUUGGUUUACCUUAUAAUGGAGUUUCCUUGAAAAUAAACUAUAUAUAUAUAUGUAUUUAUAUAUAUAUAUAUAUGCACAGGGCCGAUCCUGUAUCUCAUAGGACCCUAAGCAAAAAUUAGAAAAUGAGCCAUUAUAAUUUUCUUUUAUAUUGAUAAUACAACAAUAGUAUAUUAACAUAAACUUUUUCAGCCAAUUAUUUAAAAGAGUUUUCAAUCAAAAAAGAGAAGAAAAUAUAAGGUACUAAGAAUUCAACUCUAAUGAUAUGAUCUAAAUGACGAAAAGAACUUUUAUAAGACAAAAGCUAUGUAAAUAAAUACCUUAUUGUUAAGCAAAAAUAAUUUAUAUAUAUAUAUAUAUAUAUAUAUAUAUAUAANUAAUUAUAUAUAUAUAUAUAUAUAUAUAUAUAUAUAUAAAAUGGGCCCCCAAAAUUUGGGACCCUAUGCGGCAGCAUGUUGAGCAUGUGUUCAGAUACGGGUAUACGGACAAACACAUUGUAAAAUGGGAUUCAAUUUCUUGAAUCAUUGGACAUGUAGUUUUACGUCGAAGUAUGAAUACGUACAAGUUAUUUCUUCCACUAAUUACUCUUCUUUAAUUUCUUUAUUUCACAUUUUUGUUCAAAAUAUGUCGCUUAUUUCCUCCAAAGCCCUAAUUAAGUUCUAAAAUUUCCCAUCACAUAUCGAGUUUUGUCGAUUUUGUUAUGUUUCAUCAGAUCAAUUUGUUUUUUCGUUUUUCUUCUUAAUUCAAGAUCUCAAAUUCAUUUAAUUCUAAAUAUGAAGCUUAUUUUCUACCUAAAUUAUUUCUUGAAGAUUGUUCUACCUUUUGGGCAAUGCUGAUUGCUGAAGUAUUUACGUAUGUUAAGAUAACCCAAGUUUUGAAAAUUUAACAAUAGUCUUACCUCAGGAUAUUGGAACUUAGUGUGAACAUAAUAAGGAUUUGAUAUUAGUUACCUAACAAUUAUUGGUUGGUACAAGUAAGUUAAAAAUGUCAACAUAAGCAAAAUAAAUUUAUGUAUAAGUAACAGCCAAUUGCCCAAAACCUGCAGGAGACGGUCAAAUAUUAAAUGUUAGUAGUUACAUUCAUUUUUACUUAAUGCUAUAUAUUUAUAAAUGUAAUACCAUUAAUUUAAAUCUAGCAAUAAAUUUAAUAAACUUUUAAAUCUAGCAAUAAAUUUAAUGAACUUUUAAAUCUAGCAAUAUUCAUCACCAUACCGAAUUAUAAGAUUAUCCAAAUAAUAUUUUAUAAUUUAUAGCAGCAUAAAAAAUAGUUAAUUAGUGAGAUGAAGUUAUUUGAAAUAUAAAUUAUUAGAGAGGUGGUCUUGGGUACACCC
rnacentral:lncRNA from 1 species